AUUAAAACCCAAAAGGGCAAUCACAUCAAAUAGAGGCUAAAGGCCUGAUUACGAAGAGAGCCCAACCUAGAGCAGACCCACCCUUAGAGCCUAGUGCCCAAACCAAUUAAACCCCUAACCCAAAAAUAUAAGGGACCUGAAACUGGAGCCUCAUCCUUGAGCAAUGCCGCCGCCACUGGGAAUGACUAGAAGGAAAUGUCGGAGACCAAAAGAGAGUUUCUUCAGUCUAAGCCUUGCUAUCUAUUGCGUGGUGUCUCAAAGACCAAAGAAAACCCAUUAAAUAAAGGAGCAUCGCCAUCAGAAGCACCAUCAAGCUGAUAACCCCAUUAACAAAGGAGAGAGAGGAGGGCAGAGGGCAUGACAUUCUAGCCAUGAUAAAACCAGCAAAUAGAUCUUCAAAUGCCAGCUCUAAUCCUCAAGUUGCCUUCCUUGGAA
rnacentral:misc_RNA from 1 species